CGGUGCGGGGGAGCGCGGGGAGCGCGAAGGCAGGCGGCGCACGGCUGGCGGAGUCUCGCGGCGAGCGGGAGGGGGUCGCAGGGACGGGAUGGUGGCCUGACAGAGAGCGGCCGUCUCGGUAAUGGCCGGACACUGCUAUGCUAAAAGCCCCUGAACACUCUCUCCACCCCUCCCUUGAAGAGUUUGCAAUCUGUAGAAGAAACAAGGCAGGGACACGUACUUUUCCACUAAAAGAGAAUGACGAUUUUUUUCUUUUUUAAACCACACUAACAGUUUAAAAAAGAAAGAAAGAAAGAAAGAAAGAAAGAAAGAAAGAAAGAAAGAAAGAAAGAAAAAAAAAACCUCAAACGACGAAAGUUGAAACUCACUGGCCGGUCUAGAAAGGGAAGGAUGCUAUCAAGAGGAAGAAGGGACAUGAUCAAUGAAAGUCUCUGAUGAGACAACAGGGAAUUGGUUCAAGAGUACAGAGGAGGCAUCAGCCUUUCAGAGUUGUGCUUCUGAUUCUUGCCGUGGCUGUCUUUGUUGCCAUCACCAUAGCAGUUCACAAUGGGUCAUAAAGCAGUGGAGACAACUCGCAACAUCAGCAACGCAUUUGGCCCAGAAGCUGCUAAGGAAUGUACAGUGCAGUGGUGGUUUAAGAAGUUUUGCAAGGAGACGAGAGCCCUGAAGAGGAGUGCAGUGGCCGACCAUCAGAAGUUGACAGCAACCAAUUGACAGCAAUCAUUGAAGCUGAUCCUCUAACGAAUAUAGGAGAAGUUGCUGAAGAACUCAAUGUUGAGCAUUCAUUCUGUGGUCAUUUGGCAUUUGAAACAAAUUGGAAAAGUGAAAAAGCUCAAUAAGUGGGUGCCUCAUGAGCUGUCUGAAAAUAAAAAAAAUCACCAUUUUGAAGUGUCAUCUUUUAUUGUGCAUAAAAACAAUGAAACCCACCAUCUCUAACGAAAUUACAAU